rnacentral:lncRNA from 1 species
AAGAGCUAUUAUUUUCCUCGCUAUUCUGUCACUACAACAGCUUUCCUGUGACUUAAAAGAGAUGUAUUAUUUAUGCCUCAUGUAUCUUCAGCGGCAAUGACAACUAGACCAUGUACAUUUUGGCUCCCAGACUUUCCCUGGCAAGUGAAGAUAAAUUUGUGAACCUGCAUGAACACACCGGGCUUCCAUGAAAUUUAUAGAAAUUAAUAGGAACCGCCACAAAACAUUUGGAAACAGCUUUUCUAUUGUAAGAACUGAAAAUUAAUUCUGUUCUACAGCCUGAAAAUUAAAGCAGCAUAUUCCUCCA